UACAGAGGUCCCGAGCGUUGUUCGGAUUCACUGGGCGUAAAGGGUGCGUAGGUGGUUGGGUAAGUCUGAUGUGAAAUCUCCGGGCUCAACCCGGAAAUGGCAUUGGAUACUAUUCGGCUAGAGGUUUGGAGGGGGGACUGGAAUUCUCGGUGUAGCAGUGAAAUGCGUAGAUAUCGAGAGGAACACCAGUGGCGAAGGCGGGUCUCUGGGCCGAUACUGACGCUGAGGAGCGAAAGCGUGGGGAGCGAACAGG
rnacentral:rRNA from 1 species